AGAGAAAUGCUGCCCGACUCUCUGGGGAAACACACCUUACCCCUCUUUUACCACCCCCACAUAAGUAGGGAGCCAAAAAGAUCAGCUUUCAGAGUUCUCAAAAUGCCUUCUGAAAAGUCUGGUUAAGACCACACCUUCUGACCGGGAGUCUGGUUCGUUAAGACUGCUGUGACAAAGUACUGUACACUGGGAGGGUUAUAAACAAAAGACAUAGAUAGCUCACAGAUCUGAAAGCUAAAAGUCCAAGAUCAAGGUGCUGGCAGAUUCAGGGUCUGGCGGGGGCCUGCAUCCCGUGUCACAGACAGCUGUCCUCUCACUGUCCUCAUGUGGCGAAACAGGCACGCAAUCUCUCUGGGGGCUAUUUUAUCAGAAGCACUGGUAUAGUUUGGACAUUUGUCCCUUCCAAAUCCCAUGUUCAAGUUUGAUCCCCAUUGUUGGAGAUGGAGUCUAAUGGGAGGCUUGGGGGCCAUGGGGUAGACGCCUCAUGAAGAGAUGAAUGCCCUCCCAGGGGAGGGGGGUAAGGUCUUACUCUAUUAGUUCCCAUGAGAGCUAGUUGUUAAAAAGAACCUGGCCCCUCCCCUCCUUCCUGCUUCCUGUCUCACCACACGAUCUCCGCACACACCAGCUCCCCUUCACCUUCUUCCACACUUGGAAGCAGCCUGAGGCCCUCACCAGAAGCCCAGUCCUGAAACUUCCAGCCAGCAGAACUGUGAGCUGAAUAAACUUCUUUUCUCUAUAAAUUACCCAGCUUCAAGUCCUCCUUUAUAGCAACAAUAAAUGGACUAAGAGGGGCUCUAAUCCCAUUCAUGAGGGUUCCACCCUCACGACCUAAUCACCUCCACAGGACCCACCACCAAAUAGCAUCACCUUGGGGGUUAAGGCUUCAUAUACGACUUUGGUGGGGAUGUAAAGAUUCCAUUCAUUGCACAGGGCAAAGGGAGGCCAUAGCAGCAGGGUCAUAGUGUUCUGGGGCUGCUCACUGCCCCUCACUCCCAGGCCUGCCCCACCCCAGCCAAGGCCUUCAUGCUGCUCUGGGCUACCUCUCCCAGGUCCUGCAUCCCAAGCAAAGGUACAGACUCAAUUGAGAUCUCCUGAGACUCACUCCCUGCCCCUGCAACAAGAUGGACAUGUCCUUGUCAAGUUCUUCUCUAGGAAAAUGUGGGCAUCACAUAGAGACUCGUACCUACCUGUGCAGAGGUUUUCCAGAGCCUCGAUCACCCCCUCUGUCUCAUCAUUGGUUUCUGGCUUCAGUCUCACCUUCUUGGUGAUGUCUUUGUCCCUGUGUCAUUCUAAUCAAAGUAGCUCCCCAGUCCCCACUGUGUCUCUCCAUCUUACUCCUCAGUUUUAGUUCCUUCAGAACAAUUGUGACCAGAGCAAUUGCCUGAAUUAUUCACUUAUUUUGUGGUAUGUUUUCAUAUUUAUUGACUGAUUUCUCCAACACUAAUCACCACACCUAGAAAAGCUCCCUAGUAUGUGGUCAGUGCUCAAUAAAUAUUUGCGGAAUGAAUGAAAUUGAGUUCUAAGCAUAGGCACAGUGGGGUUUUUUUUUUUUUUAAGU
rnacentral:lncRNA from 1 species